rnacentral:RNase_P_RNA from 1 species
GAGGAAACUCCACCCAUCAUACAGAACCGUGAUGCCAGCAGGCAUCUGCUGAGAAGCAGGACACUGGAGCAGAAACGAUAUGUUUUCUAAUGGACGAACAUGAUGCUUAAAUGCUGAUGGACAUUAGAAAAAUACAGUGAAACGGCUAUUCCACGGGAUGCAAGGACAAAUACUGUUUAUGGAUCCUGUAUGAAACAGAGGUAGUCCGCAAAGAUGAAUGCUGCUAAAACAGAAGGUGGGUUA